GCGGAGGCAGCAGUGAGGAAUAUUGGUCAAUGGGCGGGAGCCUGAACCAGCCAAGUCGCGUGAAGGAAGAAGGAUCUAUGGUUCGUAAACUUCUUUUGCAGGGGAAUAAAGUGCAGGACGUGUCCUGUUUUGUAUGUACCCUGAGAAUAAGGAUCGGCUAACUCCGUGCCAGCAGCCGCGGUAAUACGGAGGAUCCGAGCGUUAUCCGGAUUUAUUGGGUUUAAAGGGUGCGUAGGUGGUUUGAUAAGUCAGCGGUGAAAGUUUGCAGCUUAACUGUAAAAAUGCCGUUGAAACUGUCGGACUUGAGUGUAAAUGAGGUAGGCGGAAUGCGUGGUGUAGCGGUGAAAUGCAUAGAUAUCACGCAGAACUCCGAUUGCGAAGGCAGCUUACUAAGCUACAACUGACACUGAAGCACGAAAGCGUGGGGAUCAAACAGGAUUAGAUACCCCCGUAGUCCC
rnacentral:rRNA from 1 species